rnacentral:lncRNA from 1 species
CUCUGAGGACAGGUGUCAAUCCAUAUCUGCCAAGUGACCCUAUGUAGGGGGAACAGUCCCUAUUCUGCUCUGUGUCAGUGUUUAUCAGGGAUCCUUAGGAUAGGUGUCAAUCCAUAUCUGCAAAGUGACCCUAUGUAGGGGGAACAGUCCCUAUUCUGCUCUUUGUCAGUGUGUAUCAGGGAUCCUUAGGAUAGGUGUCAAUCCAUAUCUGCCAAGUGACCCUAUGUAGGGGGAACAGUCCCUAUUCUGCUCUGUGUCAGUGUGUAUCAGGGGCUCUGAGAACAGGUGUCAAUCCAUAUCUGCCAAGUGACCCUAUGUAGGGGGAACAGUCUCUAUUCUGCUCUCCGUCAGUGUGUAUCAUGGUCUCUGAGGACAGGUG